GACCUGAGUUCAGAGAGACAACCCCCACAAA
rnacentral:rRNA from 1 species